UACGUAGGGUGCGAGCGUUGUCCGGAAUUACUGGGCGUAAAGAGCUCGUAGGUGGUUUGUCGCGUUGUUCGUGAAAACCGGGGGCUUAACCCUCGGCGUGCGGGCGAUACGGGCAGACUUGAGUACUGCAGGGGAGACUGGAAUUCCUGGUGUAGUGGUGAAAUGCGCAGAUAUCAGGAGGAACACCGGUGGCGAAGGCGGAUCUCGUGGGCCUUACCUGACGCUGAGGCGCGAAAGCUAGGGGGAGCGAAACAGG
rnacentral:rRNA from 1 species